rnacentral:rRNA from 1 species
UACAGAGGUCUCAAGCGUUGUUCGGAUUCAUUGGGCGUAAAGGGUGCGUAGGCGGCGCGGUAAGUCGGGUGUGAAAUCUCGGAGCUUAACUCCGAAACUGCAUUCGAUACUGCCGUGCUUGAGGACUGGAGAGGAGACUGGAAUUGACGGUGUAGCGGUGAAAUGCGUAGAUAUCGUAAGGGAAGACCAGUGGCGAAGGCGGG